GAUGAAGAACGUAGCGAAAUGCGAUACGUAAUGUGAAUUGCAGAAUUCAGUGAAUCAUCGAAUCUUUGAACGCAUAUUGCGCUCUCUGGUAUUCCGGAGAGCAUGCUUGUUUGAGUAUCAGUAAACACCUCAACUCCCUUUUCUUUUUUGAAAUUGGAGCUGGACUUGAGUGAUCCCAACGCUUUCUUCCAAGAAAGUGGCGGGUUGCUUGAAAUGCAGGUGCAGCUGAACUUUUCUCUGAGCUAUAAGCAUAUCUAUGUAGUCUGCCUAAAAAACAGAUUAUUACCUUUGCUGCAGCUAACAUAAAGGAGACUAGUUCUUGUGCUGACUGAUGCAGGAUUCACAGAGACAGCUUCGGCUGACUUUGUAAACUCGAUCUCAAAUCAAGUAAGACUACCCGCUGAACUUAAGCAUAUCAAUAAGCGGAGGA
rnacentral:misc_RNA from 1 species